rnacentral:rRNA from 2 species
UGCAGUCGAGCGGACAGAUGGGAGCUUGCUCCCUGAUGUUAGCGGCGGACGGGUGAGUAACACGUGGGUAACCUGCCUGUAAGACUGGGAUAACUCCGGGAAACCGGGGCUAAUACCGGAUGGUUGUUUGAACCGCAUGGUUCAGACAUAAAAGGUGGCUUCGGCUACCACUUACAGAUGGACCCGCGGCGCAUUAGCUAGUUGGUGAGGUAACGGCUCACCAAGGCGACGAUGCGUAGCCGACCUGAGAGGGUGAUCGGCCACACUGGGACUGAGACACGGCCCAGACUCCUACGGGAGGCAGCAGUAGGGAAUCUUCCGCAAUGGACGAAAGUCUGACGGAGCAACGCCGCGUGAGUGAUGAAGGUUUUCGGAUCGUAAAGCUCUGUUGUUAGGGAAGAACAAGUGCCGUUCAAAUAGGGCGGCACCUUGACGGUACCUAACCAGAAAGCCACGGCUAACUACGUGCCAGCAGCCGCGGUAAUACGUAGGUGGCAAGCGUUGUCCGGAAUUAUUGGGCGUAAAGGGCUCGCAGGCGGUUUCUUAAGUCUGAUGUGAAAGCCCCCGGCUCAACCGGGGAGGGUCAUUGGAAACUGGGGAACUUGAGUGCAGAAGAGGAGAGUGGAAUUCCACGUGUAGCGGUGAAAUGCGUAGAGAUGUGGAGGAACACCAGUGGCGAAGGCGACUCUCUGGUCUGUAACUGACGCUGAGGAGCGAAAGCGUGGGGAG